AAAUCGUGGAGUAGACAACAGGGAUUGCCCUAGUAACGGCGAGUGAAGCGGCAACAGCUCAAAUUUGAAAUCUGGCUCCUUUGGGGUCCGAGUUGUAAUUUGUAGAGGGUGCUUUGGCGUUGGCCAUGGUCUAAGUUCCUUGGAACAGGACGUCACAGAGGGUGAGAAUCCCGUACGUGGCCGUUGGCCUUCGCCAUGUAAAGCCCCUUCGACGAGUCGAGUUGUUUGGGAAUGCAGCUCUAAAUGGGAGGUAAAUUUCUUCUAAAGCUAAAUAUUGGCCAGAGACCGAUAGCGCACAAGUAGAGUGAUCGAAAGAUGAAAAGCACUUUGGAAAGAGAGUCAAAAAGCACGUGAAAUUGUUGAAAGGGAAGCGCUUGCAGCCAGACUUGCCCGUAGUUGCUCAUCCAGGUUUCGGCCUGGUGCACUCUUCUGCGGGCAGGCCAGCAUCAGUCCAGGCGGUCGGAUAAAGGUCUUGGGAAUGUGGCUCUCUUCGGGGAGUGUUAUAGCCCAGGGCGUAAUGCGGCCAGCUUGGACUGAGGUCCGCGCAUCUGCUAGGAUGCUGGCGUAAUGGCUGUAAGCGGCCCUGGAAAAAAAACCGGGGAAAAAUUUGUCGCCCGUCACGGAAGGAGAGAGAGAAAAGAGAAGAGAGCGGGGAAGGAGAGCGAAGAGAGGCAGGGGGAGAGGGGGACCGAACCAGAGCACGCGCCAAACCGCGCGCCCACGACGAGGAGGCACGCGGCGCCCCACGAA
rnacentral:rRNA from 1 species